rnacentral:hammerhead_ribozyme from 1 species
AUCUAGCUGACGAAUCCUAAAUGGGACGACACACGCGUCCUGGAU